AUACGAGAAGCGAGAGAUGUGGAUCCCUACAUAUGUGAAAGGUGUGUUUUGGGCAGGAAUGCAGACAACUCAAAGGGUUGAGAGUAUAAAUAGCUUUUUUGAUGAUUAUAUUAACAAGCACACCUGGCUAUGUGAGUUUGCUCCUAAUUAUUUUAAGGCGAUGGAAUACCGAGCAAACGAUGAGAAGGAAGCGGAUGCCAACUGUACACGUUUAGUGAGGCCCUUGAUAUCAAAUUUGCGUUGGAACAUAAAUUUCAGAAGUUGUACACAGAUGGAAGUUUGUAGAAGUACAAAACUAGUGCAAUCGUGUCACAUAUGUGACUCUUGUAUUAAAGAAGUCGGUGUCACAUAACGAGGAGGAGUAUGUGUUCUCAGACCGUGUAUGGAUAUAUUGUAAGAAAAAAGGAAGGAGACUCCUCUCAAAGGUCGGGUGAAGGACUAUACUGUUUUAUACAACAAAGAGAGAAAGGAGGCGUACUAUGACUGUUGCCACUUUGAAUGUCAUGGGAUAGUUUGUAGGCACAUAAUUUAGGUUUUAGACAUGAGUGGCGUAACUGAUAUCCCUUCCAUGUACAUACUUGAUAGGUGGAUAAAGGAUAUUAGUAGGAAACACACUCUCGUUAAAGUUGUGUAUCACGAUGCGUCAAAAACAGAAGAGGUUCGAAGAUAUGAUAAGUUGAUGUUAGCCCUUGAACCUGUUGUAUUGCGUGGUUCAGCCUCAGAUGAAGCCGUUGAAGUCUUGAUGGACUUGAUUCAGCUAAUAAGCAUUAAGGUCGAUGAACUGUGUGAGGGUCAGGCCAAGGUUCUGGUGGGGAUGGUGGUGAUGUGGAGGCAAUGAAACAUGUUACGCCUCCAACUCCCAAAAUCCCAAGCUCUAUUAAUAAAGAAAGCGUUGCAGGUUCCUUAGACUCACCCAGUUCUACGUGUGUAAAAGAUCCGGACCUUGGGGUAAUAAUAAGAAAAGGCAGACCUCGAGCAACAUGGUUUGUAUCCCCAGCAGAGUAGGCCAAGGCCAAAGUUCCAAAGACAAGUGGUAAGAAGAAGCAGGCCAAGGGGCAUGACAAUCAUUUAGAAUAUGAGCAUGGGACUGUCCAACAUCCCUCUGAGUUGCUGCAACAUCAUGCGGAGUUCCAACAACAAGUUUGUUUCCCCAACGUGUUACCUACUCAACGUAAUCCCAUUUCUAAUUUUAGGGGGGAUAUGUUAUGCCUCCAACAACAUAACAUUAGUCUGGUCAACCAAGGAUAUUAUGCUGGAAUUGGGAGUCGGCCUUCAGUGUUGAACGGAAGGGUCCUUGCUGGUGGGGUUCAUAUCAGUCAACAAAGUGAGGCAGUUGGUUACUUCACCAAUAUACCAAGGUCAACUACAUUUUGGGGAAGGUGGCCAUAUUAUCAACCUUAGCUAUGUACCCAACACGACCAUACAGCAUAUGCGAACUCAUAUGAAUACUCAAUCUAAUUUUUCAAUAAAUAAUAAUUGAUUAAUGGACUCAAUCAGAAUGAUAAACUGUAGUUCUAAUGUCAUUUUACAUGAUCUUCUUGGUACUGUUAGUAUUGGCAUAUUAUACUUGUACUGAAUUUAUAGUUUUGAUAGUAUGUAAUACAAAUACCAGCCUAGGGUUGGAUGGUAUAUUAUUUGGAUGGAGUGAGUUGUAUGGACUAACUCUUGCUAUUAUUAA